AGGUGCAUGGCUAGACUCUCCGUCUAUCAGGCCUUCCAUCCUAUCCACUAUCUUAUCAAUCUGAGCAUCUUGAUUUUGAACAUAUUUGAUCAGGCUCUCAAUUGCCUUUAUCAGAUUUGUAAGUUGCUCCUCCAAAGAUGAGACAUCAGUUACCAUUGCUUGCAUGAUCACUGGAGACGUUGGAGAGUAACACAGAUUAUCUCAUAAGUUGA
rnacentral:lncRNA from 1 species